rnacentral:rRNA from 1 species
CUACGGGAGGCAGCAGUUGGGAAUCUUGCACAAUGGGGGAAACCCUGAUGCAGCGACGCCGCGUGGAGGAUGAAGAUUCUAGGAUUGUAAACUCCUUUUUCAGGGAAAGACUUAGGACGGUACCCUGAGAAUAAGCACCGGCUAACUACGUGCCAGCAGCCGCGGUAAGACGUAGGGUGCAAGCGUUGUCCGGAUUUACUGGGCGUAAAGCGCGCGUAGGCGGUCUGUUAAGUGAGAAGUGAAAUCUCCAGGGCUCAACCCGGAAACUGCUUUUCAUACUGGCAGACUUGAGGAAUGCAGAGGCAACUAGAAUUCCUGGUGUAGCGGUGACAUGCAUUGAUAUCAGGAGGAAUACCCAUGGCAAAGGCAGGUUGCUGGGCAUUAUCUGACGCUGAGGCGCGAAAGCGUGGGUAGCAAACAGGAUUAGAAACCCUAGUAGUCC